AUUGAACGCUGGCGGCAGGCCUAACACAUGCAAGUCGAGCGAGCGGCGGACGGGUGAGUAAUGUCUGGGAAACUGCCUGAUGGAGGGGGAUAACUACUGGAAACGGUAGCUAAUACCGCAUACCAUCAGAUGUGCCCAGAUGGGAUUAGCUAGUAGGUGGGGUAAUGGCUCACCUAGGCGACGAUCCCUAGCUGGUCGGAGAGGAUGACCAGCGCAACUGUAAAUGUGACACCGGCCAGACUGCGACGGGAUGCAGCAGUGGGGAAUAUUGCACAAUGGGCGCGAGCCUGAUGCGGCCAGGCAGAUGGUGUGAAGAAGGCCUUCGGGUUGUAAAGCGCUUUCAGCGGGGAGGCGUUACCCGCAGAAGAAGCACCGGCUAACACCGUGCCAGCAGCCGCGGUAAUA
rnacentral:rRNA from 1 species